CCCCAGACAAGAAAACAGUGGUGAACCUGGCUGCAUUUCUGGACCCCCAGAAGGAGGCGGCACUGACGGCCUGACAGGUCUCCUGACCUUUGGGGGCUUUUAUGUUUGUUUGCUUUUGUUCCAAGUUCCCAGAGGAAAUUCAGGAGGCACCACAACAAAACUCCUGUUUCCUGACACUGCAAUCUAGCCCUUGAAGUGAGGUCCUCUCAGAGGCAGCUUGCCAUCAAGUGCCAUUCUGGGAAGAAAAAGAGUGGUUUUCUCCUAAAAUCAGGGUCGAGUGACCUCUUCAGAUAUAGCAGAGCCUCACGUUGACUCAUAAAAGUGUUUUCAAGACUGCUUUUCCGUCCUCUUCCCCAGGAAGUCCCGGUUGGAGGCUCCCUAACAUUACUGGCUACCCACUAGGGCUGGAAAGAGUUAACGUGAGGGGUGCCAUGGAGGUGGGGCAUAACUCAGUGUAAUUACCCUUACAUAUUAGAUUGCAGCCUGAACAUGCUUACCCCAUCAUUAAGAGCCUUGUAAAGAUAACUAAUGUUUUUUUGUUGUUCUGCCCCACAUCUCCCUGCCAGCAUUCCAGAAUUGGCCCGGCAGAGCCCCAGGCUCCCGGGGGCUUGAUGGAAGCUAUGGAAGAGCAGUUCAGCUUCCUCUAAGGUAGCAAAACCUUACAGACUUCAGGGGACAGCGGAUCCAUGGCCCACGGCUGCUGCAGGCAAAGUCUCUUCUUUUCUGCAGGGACCCUUCUCUCUCAAGGCCGAUUGAGUACAUCAGAGGAGGAGACUGAAAGCCCCGCAGAUGUGUGCAAAAUGGGUUCCUUCUUGCUUGCCAUGCCUAGAAAGAAGCAGCCAGGUACCCUGGAGGCAGCAGCCAAAAAACAGGAGCCACGGACCAGAAGAGUAGCUGGGCGUCUCCCCACGAGGGCAGAAGAGAACGGGCCCGUCAACCUCCUCUUCACGGAUGGGACCACCCGUUUCUCCUGACUGGAAAGGAAAGGCGGUGCAGCUUUUGUUGGUGAAGUUGCACUCAGGAUCAGAAAACAGAACGGCGGUCCUGGCGGGGGAUGGUGCCUCUGACGUGGCAGGGCCCGUGUACUCUCGCCCAUGGCCCUGCUGCUGGGCCCUGCAGGGGCUGCACGUUUGCCUGUGACAAGGGCCCCCGAGGCCACUCACAGAGCAGGCCUCCCCCAUCCCCGCCAGGGCUCCACACUUCCUCACAGCUCCUGCGUCCUCACACAGCACGUCGGGGACUGAGACAUGGUGACAAGGAUUCUUCCAACACGGGUUUCUCCUGGCCUCAGUUUUGAUCAUAGAGGAGGCUCCUGGCCAGAGGCAAAGCCGCUGUUCCCUGGCAGUGACAGCGUGGCCCAGAAAGGUGGCUUCAGGGAGUUCAGAGCAUGAGGUGAGAAUUAUUUUUGGUGGUACAAAAAUUAGUACUUUUCCAUUUACCUGUUUAUGAGGUUUGUCUGUGAAUGGUGAACAUUCCUGAGACAGAUACUUAUUGAGAAUCUAUGACCUGCAACAGACUACCUUGUUGUAUUUUGGCUUUUAGUUAAGAUGCUAGUUAAUUAUAUAUGUGUCAGGGGUUGACAGACGCUUUCUGUAAAGGGCCCAGUAGGAAAUAUUUUAGGCCUCUGGGGCCCUGAGUUCUCCAUAUCAAUUGCUGACCUCCUCCCAUGUAGCCCAAAG
rnacentral:lncRNA from 10 species